CGACGCAUAGCGGGGGGUUUUUAAAGCCGAGAAAUGCACCGUAUUUGAUAGCUUGCUGCGAGACCUCACACCGUGCACAUGUAACCAACUUUAAGGUAUAAAGGUGAAUUACAGCACAAUAACUACUUGGGCUCGUAAUGAGGCCCUGGCCAGUAUCAGAAGAUGCCGAAUUCGUAUGGAGCCAAAGUAUUGAGCAGCAAUAAUGACCUGGACACGAUGUUAACUUUUGAGUAGCCACUCUUGUAUUGUUACAAGGUACAAAAAAUUAGUGUCCAAUUUGUACAGAAAAAGUAUAAAAUAAAAUAAA